rnacentral:rRNA from 1 species
CCUACGGGGCGCUGCAGUAGGGAAUAUUGCUCAAUGGGGGAAACCCUGAAGCAGCAACGCCGCGUGGAGGAUGAAGGUUUUCGGAUUGUAAACUCCUUUUGUUAGAGAAGAUAAUGACGGUAUCUAACGAAUAAGCACCGGCUAACUCCGUGCCAGCAGCCGCGGUAAUACGGAGGGUGCAAGCGUUACUCGGAAUCACUGGGCGUAAGGAGCGCGUAGGCGGGAUAGCAAGUCAGAUGUGAAAUCCUAUGGCUUAACCAUAGAACUGCAUUUGAAACUGUUAUUCUAGAGUAUGGGAGAGGUAGGUGGAAUUCUUGGUGUAGGGGUAAAAUCCGUAGAGAUCAAGAGGAAUACUCAUUGCGAAGGCGACCUGCUAGAACAUAACUGACGCUGAUGCGCGAAAGCGUGGGGAGCAAACAGGAUUAGAUACCCGAGUAGUC